ACUUGAUUAGUUUAAUUUAAAACGUUGAUUUGUGGGGUCAAUAAUGUGUUUUUACAUCAGGUU
rnacentral:tRNA from 1 species